UUUACCGUGCUCAUACUCACACGCAGCUGAGCUUAGAUUACCGUAAAGGAGUCGUUUUCUUUGUUGUUUUUCUGAAUUUUUUUCUCUGUUAUACUGUGUUUUACCUAAAUCUCUUCGGUGUUUUUAUUUUAUCGUGCUCAUGCUCACACGCAGCUGAGCUUAGAUUACCGCAAAGGAGUCGUUUUCUUUGUUCGCGAGAAAAUCUGUUCGCUCAUGGCCAACUAUACGUAGGAAUGAGUAGAGCAAGGCGAAGGGAAAACGUAUGCCUGUUGACGAACCCCGACAGGAUCCACAACGACGCCGUGGCAACUCGCAACAUUGUUUAUCCAGAAUUAUUAUUGUGAAAAAAGGGAAAUUUAUAUUAAUACUUACACGGAGAAAAAAACUUCGUGCAUGGGACCCGACGUUGAGAUCAUAUGAAUCUCUUAAAACUUGAGGUCAGCUGCCGAAAUUCAGGUCAGAAAUCUGAAACACUUCGGUAUGCACCGAGUACUUCAGAUGUGUGACCUGAAACCUUCGAUAUAUACCGAACUACUUCAAUUGU